GUAGUUUGAUCCUGGCUCAGGACGAACGCUGGCGGCGUGCCUAAUACAUGCAAGUUGAACGCUGAAGACUGGUACUUGUACUAGUUGGAUGAGUAGCGAACGGGUGAGUAACGCGUGGGUAACCUACCUCUUAGCGGGGGACAACUAUUGGAAACGAUAGCUAAUACCGCAUAACAAUCACUAACACAUGUUAGUGAUUUGAAAGCACCAAUUGGUGCACUAAGAGAUGGACCCGCGUUGUAUUAGCUUA
rnacentral:rRNA from 1 species